AGCCAGUUAGCUCAGUCGGUUAGAGCGUGGUGCUAAUAACGCCAAGGUCACAGGUGCGAUCCCUGUUCAGUCCC
rnacentral:tRNA from 1 species